rnacentral:rRNA from 1 species
UACAGAGGGUGCAAGCGUUGUUCGGAAUUAUUGGGCGUAAAGGGCGCGUAGGCGGUGCGGUAAGUCUCUUGUGAAAUCUCCGGGCUCAACCCGGAGCCUGCAAGGGAAACUGCCGUGCUUGAGUGUGGGAGAGGUGAGUGGAAUUCAUGGUGUAGCAGUGAAAUGCGUAGAGAUCAUGAGGAAGACCAGUGGCGAAGGCGGGUCUCUGGACAGUUCCUGACACUGAGGCACGAAGGCCAGGGGAGCAAACGGG